GACGAACGCUGGCGGCGUGCCUAAUACAUGCAAGUUGAGCGCUGAAGGUUGGUACUUGUACCAACUGGAUGAGCAGCGAACGGGUGAGUAACGCGUGGGGAAUCUGCCUUUGAGCGGGGGACAACAUUUGGAAACGAAUGCUAAUACCGCAUAAAAACUUUAAACACAAGUUUUAAGUUUGAAAGAUGCAAUUGCAUCACUCAAAGAUGAUCCCGCGUUGUAUUAGCUAGUUGGUGAGGUAAAGGCUCACCAAGGCGAUGAUACAUAGCCGACCUGAGAGGGUGAUCGGCCACAUUGGGACGGAGACACGGCCCAAACUCCUACGGGAGGCAGCAGUAGGGAACCUUCGGCAAUGGACGAAAGUCUGACCGAGCAACGCCGCGUGAGUGAAGAAGGUUUUCGGAUCGUAAAACUCUGUUGGUAGAGAAGAACGUUGGUGAGAGUGGAAAGCUCAUCAAGUGACGGUAACUACCCAGAAAGGGACGGCUAACUACGUG
rnacentral:rRNA from 1 species